CAGUAGCGUAUAUUAAAGUUGUUGCAGUUAAAAUGCUCGUAGUUGAAGUUCGGAUGCAGCAGAGCUUGGAAACGCUGUUAUGGUGCUUCCGUUGCUUUUGCUUGUCCACAGUGCGUUGCAAGUACGUAUGUGCUUGUGCGUGCAUUUUACUUUGAGAAACAUAGGGUGUUCCACGCAUGUUACGGCAUGAAUAUUCCAGCAUGGGAUAAUCUGGUACGACUUCCAAUCUGCCAUUUUGGUUCGUAGGUUGGAAGUAAUGAUUAAUAGGGACUGUCGGGGGCAUUGGUAUUUAAUUGUCAGAGGUGAAAUUCUUGGAUUUAUGAAAGACUAACAUCUGCGAAAGCAUUUGCCAAGGAUGCUUUCAUUGA
rnacentral:rRNA from 1 species